rnacentral:rRNA from 1 species
GAUGAACGCUGGCGGCGUGCCUAAUACAUGCAAGUCGAGCGAACAGAUGAGGAGCUUGCUCCUCUGACGUUAGCGGCGGACGGGUGAGUAACACGUGGAUAACCUACCUAUAAGACUGGGAUAACUUCGGGAAACCGGAGAUAAUACCGGAUAAUAUAUUGAACCGCAUGGUUCAAUAGUGAAAGACGGUUUUGCUGACACUUAUAGAUGGAUCCGCGCCGCAUUAGCUAGUUGGUAAGGUAACGGCUUACCAAGGCGACGAUGCGUAGCCGACCUGAGAGGUUGAUCGGCCACACUGGAACUGAGACACGGUCCAGACUCCUACGGGAGGCAGCAGUAGGGAAUCUUCCGCAAUGGGCGAAAGCCUGACGGAGCCACGCCGCGUGAGUGAUGAAGGUCUUCGGAUCGUAAAGCUCUUUUAUUAGGGAAGAACAAAUGUGUAAGUAACUAUGCACGUCUUGACGGUACCUAAUCAGAAAGCCACGGCUAACUACGUG